rnacentral:rRNA from 1 species
AUUGAACGCUGGCGGCAGGCCUAACACAUGCAAGUCGAGCGGAUGAAGGGAGCUUGCUCCUGGAUUCAGCGGCGGACGGGUGAGUAAUGCCUAGGAAUCUGCCUGGUAGUGGGGGAUAACGUCCGGAAACGGGCGCUAAUACCGCAUACGUCCUGAGGGAGAAAGUGGGGGAUCUUCGGACCUCACGCUAUCAGAUGAGCCUAGGUCGGAUUAGCUAGUUGGUGGGGUAAAGGCCUACCAAGGCGACGAUCCGUAACUGGUCUGAGAGGAUGAUCAGUCACACUGGAACUGAGACACGGUCCAGACUCCUACGGGAGGCAGCAGUGGGGAAUAUUGGACAAUGGGCGAAAGCCUGAUCCAGCCAUGCCGCGUGUGUGAAGAAGGCCCUCGGAUUGUAAAGCACUUUAAGUUGGGAGGAAGGGCAGUAAGUUAAUACCUUGCUGUUUUGACGUUACCAACAGAAUAAGCACCGGCUAACUUCGUG